rnacentral:rRNA from 1 species
UGAGGAAUAUUGGUCAAUGGCCGGGAGGCUGAACCAGCCAAGUCGCGUGAGGGAAGACGGUCCUAUGGAUUGUAAACCUCUUUUGUCGGGGAGCAAAAGGCGCCACGUGUGGUGCUCCGAGAGUACCCGAAGAAAAAGCAUCGGCUAACUCCGUGCCAGCAGCCGCGGUAAUACGGAGGAUGCGAGCGUUAUCCGGAUUUAUUGGGUUUAAAGGGUGCGUAGGCGGACUUUUAAGUCAGCGGUAAAAUUGAGAGGCUCAACCUCUUCCCGCCGUUGAAACUGGGAGUCUUGAGUGGGCGAGAAGUAUGCGGAAUGCGUGGUGUAGCGGUGAAAUGCAUAGAUAUCACGCAGAACUCCGAUUGCGAAGGCAGCAUACCGGCGCCCAACUGACGCUGAAGCACGAAAGCGUGGGUAUCGAACAGGAUUAGAUACC